rnacentral:lncRNA from 1 species
ACGGCACACACUAGGGUCUCCGUCUCUCACACACACACACCACAAUGACGUCGUAAACAAUAGCACUAACCACCAUCGUCCGCAGCUCCCGCGUACAGAGGCCUCAGGCUCCCGGCUCCACGUGGACCGACCUCGCCCGGCAGCGCGGGGCCACCUCACCGCGAGCUCCUCCCGCAGCCCGGCCCGGGUCACCUCGACUCGCCAGGCUUAACUCAAUAACCACAACACCGGAAAAGGAAGCAAAGGUCGAAGUUCAUCCGCGGCCCUGAGGCCUGUGGGAAACGUAGUCCAACAACGAAAGAGCCCUGAAGCUCAAGCGGAGCCCGCUGGCCGCAGGGGCCGCACCACGCCCCAGACCCUGGAGUUUCCGGGUGCGCAGACCCUUGCCAUCAGCAGAGGCUGCCGCUGCGCGUCCCCUAGGCGCGGAAGAGGCGGCUGGUGGUCCCUGACGGCAAGGUUUUAUACAUUACGAAUAAAGCUGGCACGUUUCCAUUUCUCCUGGGCAAAUAUUUAGAAGAAAAGUUGCUGGGUAAUUGAAGCACUGAGACCACAGAGGCAAGAGCUGGGGAAGGAAAACUGCCCAUGAGAUGAGAUGUGCCUCUCAGCUUCCAAAAUCGGGGAGGGUUGCAAAGGGAUGACACCAUCCACACCAGAACUGCAUGAAUGGCAUCAGGAAUGAUCAGAGACCAUAAAUUCCAGUGAGACCAAUAACACCAUUUCUGGUCCUGCAUGCUCUUCCAAACUUUGCCACUAACCCCUUCAAGAGAUGCCCCCCAUGGAAUCCAGCCAUCAUGCUGUGAGGAAUCCAAGCAGCUACAUAGAAAGGCCACAACUAGAUAUUCCAGCUGUAGUCAGCUGAAGCUCCAGCCAACAGCCAACAUCAACCACCACACGUGAAAACGAGCAAGCCUUCAGAUGAUUCCGACUCCCAACCUCCAAGCCACCUCAGCUGAAGCCAAGUAGAGCAGAGACUAGCUGUCCCCCAAUGCUCUAAUAUGCAGAUUCAUAAUUAAAAAGAAUGUUAUUGUUCUAAGCCAUGAAAAAAAAAAAAAAAAAAA